UUCUUGAAAAAUGUUCAUCUCCAACCUUCUCUUGGGAGACUAGGAAGCACCAGAAUGACUUUGACAAACUUGAAUACCAGAUUUUCUUAUGACUCAGGAAGAAGGUUAUGAUGUUUAUUUAGAAGGGACUUCUUAUUUAUAGCAUUUUGUCAAGUGGGGUGCUGGAGCCAGCUCACACUGGCCCAUAAGAUCUAAUUCUUAAAAAUUCAGGAGUUGUGUGAGUUGAUUGAUGACAGGCUGGUAGCUUGACAUCGGCCACGAUGGAAGUAUUUACACCAUGGAAAUCAGCAAAUGCUACAAACCAGGGCUUUUGCCAGUGCACCAUUGAAUUUAUCCCUUCUUUUUAAAUACUUAGAAGCAAUGAACACUAUGCGUGAAAUGCCUGCCAUGUCCUUUUUAAGCUAGCAGACCCACCAAAAUAUUAUAUAUCUGUGUGUGUAUAUAUAUGUGCAUAUAUAUAUAUCGUGUGUGUGUGUGUAUAUAUAUAUUUUUUUCUAUUUGAGGAAAGAAAACAAAGAAGGAACAUUAUCCAUGAGGAUAAAAGGAGUCCAAAGAAGAGAGAGAAAGCAACGGGCACAUAUGGCAGAAACUUCACGAACAUGUCAGACUUGGAGGUAUGAUGGGAAGUCUAAACAGAAGUAACCACGGGAUUUUUCAGAGGUCCAGUAAAGAGAAAGGAAGAUGGGAUUUUGCAGAGAAAGGAUGAUGGGAUUUUGCAGGUAUGCAGUCAAGAGACGGAUGCACUCCUAGCCACAAGAGCGAGCGAGAAAUUUUCUAAGUAUCCAGGUAAGAGCUGUUGCUGUCCCUAAAAACGCGAUGACCAUAACAUUUGAAGGUAUCCAAGUAAAAAAUGUGUAACUAAUAAUCGUAGUACCAACGUAUUUUAUAGUUACCCAGGUUAGAGAUGUAGUGUCCCUUAAGAUGACAUUGAUCUGGAUAAUUUGUAGAUCUCCAUGGAAGAUAGGUUUUUUCGAAACCUAGCAGAGACCAUAGGCUCCUGUAGAUAACCAAGUAAAGGUGAUGUGUCACAAACCACUGUGGUGACCAAGGUAUUUUACAAGUAUUUGAGUCAAGAACUGACGGUAAACCUCAAAUAAAUAUGGGACUUUGAAGGUAUCGUAGGGGAGG
rnacentral:lncRNA from 12 species